GACGAACGCUGGCGGCGUGCUUAACACAUGCAAGUCGAACGGAAAGGCCCUGCUUUUGUGGGGUGCUCGAGUGGCGAACGGGUGAGUAACACGUGAGUAACCUGCCCUUGACUUUGGGAUAACUUCAGGAAACUGGGGCUAAUACCGGAUAGGAGCUCCUGCUGCAUGGUGGGGGUUGGAAAGUUUCGGCGGUUGGGGAUGGACUCGCGGCUUAUCAGCUUGUUGGUGGGGUAGUGGCUUACCAAGGCUUUGACGGGUAGCCGGCCUGGGAGGGCGACCGGCCACAAUGGGACUGAGAUACGGCCCAGACUCCUACGGGAGGCAGCAGUGGGGAAUAUUGCACAAUGGGCGGAAGCCUGAUGCAGCAACGCCGCGUGCGGGAUGCCGGCCUUCGGGUUGUAAACCGCUUUCGCCUGUGACGAAGCGUGAGUGACGGUAAUGGGUAAAGAAGCACCGGCUAACUACGUG
rnacentral:rRNA from 1 species